CGGUAAGGGUAGGAAAUGAUCUUUACAUGACGGUACCAUACCAGAAAGGGACGGCUAAAUACGUGCCAGCAGCCGCGGUAAUACGUAUGUCCCGAGCGUUAUCCGGAUUUAUUGGGCGUAAAGCGAGCGCAGACGGUUUGAUAAGUCUGAAGUGAAAGCCCACAGCUCAACUGUGGAAGUGCUUUGGAAACUGUCAAACUUGAGUGCAGUAGAGGUAAGUGGAACUCCAUGUGUAGC
rnacentral:rRNA from 1 species